UGGGCAUCACUCAGACAGCUAUGCCUUUAAGACAGGUGCAUACAUGCCCGCAGAGCAGCCAUGCAACCCUUAGAGGAAACAGCAGUCCAAGGAGGCGAAGCCAGGCUGAUUGCAUCUCCACAGGUCCUGCUCCCUGCCUGCCCAUCUUCGACCUCAGCCCUCCUCCUCCAAAGCAGUCCCUCAGAACCCCUCCUGGUUUCAGUCUGGAUCCCACCACAUGUUGAAUGGCACCCUCUCAAUCUGGGACAGCGUCCGUUGAUUUUCUCCUGUGAUAAAUGAGUGCCUGGAGUAGGGAUGGCACAGAAGAACUAUUCAGCACAUGAAGCAGUGAAUGAAAAGACAAAAGGGCAAGAAAAGGAGAGAACAGUGGAGAAAAAAGAUUUUAAUUAAAUACAUGUGGG
rnacentral:lncRNA from 10 species